GCCCCGGUCGUCUAGUGGUUAGGACGCCAGGUUUUCAUCCUGGUAACCGGGGUUCGAUUCCCCGUCGGGGUACAA
rnacentral:tRNA from 1 species